GACGAACGCUGGCGGCGUGCUUAACACAUGCAAGUCGAACGGAAAGGCCCUGCUUUUGUGGGGUGCUCGAGUGGCGAACGGGUGAGUAACACGUGAGUAACCUGCCCUUGACUUUGGGAUAACUUCAGGAAACUGGGUCUAAUACCGGAUAGGAGCUCCUGCUGCAUGGUGGGGGUUGGAAAGUUUCGGCGGUUGGGGAUGGACUCGCGGCUUAUCAGCUUGUUGGUGGGGUAGUGGCUUACCAAGGCUUUGACGGGUAGCCGGCCUGAGAGGGUGACCGGCCACAUUGGGACUGAGAUACGGCCCAGACUCCUACGGGAGGCAGCAGUGGGGAAUAUUGCACAAUGGGCGGAAGCCUGAUGCAGCAACGCCGCGUGCGGGAUGACGGCCUUCGGGUUGUAAACCGCUUUCGCCUGUGACGAAGCGUGAGAGACGGUAAUGGGUAAAGAAGCACCGGCUAACUACGUG
rnacentral:rRNA from 1 species